rnacentral:lncRNA from 1 species
UGGGGCAGAUCUACACCGGCCUGAAGAGUGCAGGCAGGAGGCUGGCCCAGUGCGCCUCUGUCACCAUCAGGACAAACAAGCUGCUGCCAAUGCAAGUGGAUGGAGAACCCUGGAUGCAGCCAUGUUGCACGGAGGAUCCCUUUUCCCCCAGAAAUUACUCAAUGCUGAAACCUCUCAAAGUGGUAUUAGAGACGCUGAAAGCACCAUGGACGGGUUUUAUGAUCAGCAAGUCCCUUUUAUGGUCCCAGGGAAAUCUCGAUCUGAGGAAUGCAGAGGGCGGCCUGUGAUUGACAGA